rnacentral:piRNA from 1 species
UAAAAAUAUUUUUUAAAAAGUGACCUCUGUC